GACAGAGGGUGCAAGCGUUGUUCGGAAUCAUUGGGCGUAAAGCGCGCGUAGGCGGCUAUGCAAGUCGGAUGUGAAAGCCCAGGGCUUAACCUUGGACGUGCACCCGAAACUGCAUGGCUUGAGUCUCGGAGAGGGUGGUGGAAUUCCCAGUGUAGAGGUGAAAUUCGUAGAUAUUGGGAGGAACAUCAGUGGCGAAGGCGGCCACCUGGACGAUGACUGACGCUGAGGUGCGAAAGCGUGGGUAGCAAACAGG
rnacentral:misc_RNA from 1 species